rnacentral:rRNA from 1 species
GACGAACCGAGCGAACGUUGUUCGGAAUCACUGGGCUUAAAGGGCGCGUAGGCGGGCUGUCAAGUCUGGGGUGAAAUCCCACGGCUCAACCGUGGAACUGCCUUAGAUACUGACGGCCUCGAGGGAGAUAGGGGCGAGCGGAACUGUGAGUGGAGUGGUGAAAUGCGUUGAUAUUCACAGGAACUCCGGUGGCGAAGGCGGCUCGCUGGAUCUUUUCUGACGCUGAGGCGCGAAAGCUAGGGGAGCAAACGGG